ACCGAAAUAGCUCAGUUGGGAGAGCGUUAGACUGUAGAUCGAAAAGGCCCUGGUUUGAUACCGGGUUCCGGCA
rnacentral:tRNA from 1 species